rnacentral:misc_RNA from 1 species
GAUGAAGAACGCAGUGAAAUGCGAUAAGUAAUGUGAAUUGCAGAAUCUCGUGAAUCAUUGAAUCUUUGAACGCACAUUGCGCCCUAUGGUAUUCCGUAGGGCAUGCCUGUCUGAGCGUUAGCUCACACCCCUCAAACUACUUUAUUGUUGGUUUGGAUGACUUUGGGAAAGCAUUAUAAAAAAAAAAAAUUUUUUUUUCUUAUGCCUCUCAGAAAUCUAUAGGCGGUACGGUUCCAACAAAACCAGAACGUAGUAAUUAAUUUUUAUAUCGUUCGUUUAUAUUUUGGAGGAGCUGUUGGCUUGCCUUUUGAACCCACAUAUUUAUUCUUAGGAAUAACCUCAGAUCAGGUAGGGAUACCCGCUGAACUUAAGCAUAUCAAUAAGCGGAGGA